UACGUAGGGGGCGAGCGUUGUCCGGAAUUACUGGGCGUAAAGGGUUCGCAGGCGGCAUGGCAAGUCCGGUGUAAAAGGCGGAAGCUCAACUUUCGUAAGCAACGGAAGCUGUAAAGCUUGAGUGAAGGGGAGGCAAGUGGAAUUCCUAGUGUAGCGGUGGAAUGCGUAGAUAUUAGGAGGAAUACCGAUGGCGAAGGCGACUUGCUGGACUUCGACUGACGCUGAGGAACGAAAGCGUGGGUAGCAAACAGG
rnacentral:rRNA from 1 species